CGCGCACCCCCGGCACGGCUCCCCGGCCCCGCCCGGAGCUGAGGGAGGACCCGGCGCUCCCCGCCCGGCGCCACACGGGGGGAGCUUCUCCUCAGCGCGGGCAGGUGGGGCCGCCCCGCCGCCCGCCCGCCUCAGCGCCGCGGGGCCGCGCCUGCCUCAGCCCGCGGCGCUCCCGGCUCGGCCGCUGCCCCUCGCCGGCAGCCGCCAGCAGCAGCAACAGGUCCGUGCCCGCUCCUCCCUCCGCCUGCCGGGCGAACAAAGGGGCUGAGCGCGGCCCCGCGCCCGCCCGGCCCCUCCGCCAGCCCGGCCCUGCGCUUCAGCCAUUUGCCUCGCCUGGCACGGCCGCGCCGCUCGCAGCCGCUCCCCGCUGCCGCUGCCGGGCGAGGCGCGGGGCCGCUGCCCGCGGGAGCUGCCCCGGGCGGCGCGGGGCUCCCGGCCGAGAGCUGAGCGGGGGGACAGCGGGACGGAGCGGGCCGGGGUCGCGGAGCCUCGGGGGAGGGCUGGUGCCCGCAUCUGCCGAUAUUGCCGGGGGAUUGCAUAUGAGGAACACUGAUGUGAAGAGAACUUCCUGAAGGUCAUGCAAAGUUAAAUUUGGCUAGGGGGGAAUCGCCUUCCAGAAUAGACUGCAGCCUCAGCCUUCCACUGAAACAGUUGCACAAGGUGAAUACAUUUUGACAGUACUCCUAAGUAUCUGCUGUUAAAGGAGAUUUUUGCUCAUCACCCGGUGCAGUGUAGAGGGGACCAGUUAUCUUGAGAAGGAUUGCAGUGCCUGCAGAUUGCUUAAAAUUUCUGCAGAGAAACGGGAAAACCAGAAUUGCUUUUCAGGCUGUUGAGGUGCUCAUCGGGGCGAUCCCCCGUCCCACCAAAAGAGCUCAGGUUUUCAGGGGCUCAGCUAGCGCAGUUAGCCGCGGGAGGCGGCCGAGCCGCAGGGUGGAUCCCCCAGGGAAAGGAGAAGCUGCGGUUUAGCCCCGGAAGCCAGAGACGGUCCCGCCUGCGAGAGCGGCGGCCCCGAAUCCUAAUCCAGGGGGGCGGGGGGGAAAGAGGCCGCGGGGCAGCGGAGGAGGGCGCAGAUGCUGAGCGCUGUUGGUCCGUCCCGCAGGUGAUGGCCGCGCCGGCAGCGCUCCGCACGGACCAGGCGCGGCGCC
rnacentral:lncRNA from 1 species